GUCCUCCUCCUCCAAUGGCGACAAGCUAGCGCGUGAGCAAGCUGACGUGCUAACUACGAUCGAAGCUUUGAGAGCCUGUCACUUAAAGGCAAUUAAAUAGCUCCAAAUAUCACCCGGAUGAACACAGCACCAGAAAUAUGAAUAUUGUGUUUGCACUGAAGUCACAAACUCAGUUUUUGAACGGCAAUUCCGUUCCAGCGGUUCCAAAUCGAAACAUGUUACUUCUUAAAAAUACUAGAACUGACCCUUUCAGCACUACCAGGCGCGGUGGCCAAGUGGUAAGGCGUCGGUCUCGUAAACCGAAGAUCGCGGGUUCGAACCCCGUCCGUGCCUUGGAGGUUGUGAUUAACUAAAUCCUUUUUAACCGAAAGUCACAUUCUAUUGUGCUGAUGAGCAACAAAAACGAAAACUCAAACCCAAGUAGCUGAAAUUUGAAUAGCAUACAGUUUUUCCCAAUAAACUUUCAAAA